CCUACGGGGGGCAGCAGUAGGGAAUCUUUCACAAUGGGCGAAAGCCUGAUGGAGCAACGCCGCGUGCAGGAUGAAGGCCUUCGGGUUGUAAACUGCUUUUAUAAGCGAGAAAUAUGAUGGUAACUUAUGAAUAAGGAUCGGCUAACUACGUGCCAGCAGCCGCGGUCAUACGUAGGAUCCGAGCAUUAUCCGGAGUGACUGGGUGUAAAGAGUUGCGUAGGUGGCAUAAUAAGUAGCUAGUGAAAUCUGGUGGCUCAACCCGCGGACGGCACAUGAUACUGCGAGACUAGAGUAAUGGAGGGGGAACCGGAAUUCUCGGUGUAGCAGUGAAAUGCGUAGAUAUCGAGAGGAACACUCGUGGCGAAGGCGGGUUCCUGGACAUUAACUGACGCUGAGGCACGAAGGCCAGGGGAGCGAAAGGGAUUAGAUACCCUUGUAGUC
rnacentral:rRNA from 1 species